CAGUAGCCGCGGUAAUACGUAGGGUGCAAGCGUUAUCCGGAAUUAUUGGGCGUAAAGAGCUCGUAGGCGGUUUGUCACGUCUGCUGUGAAAACGCGAGGCUCAACCUCGCGCCUGCAGUGGGUACGGGCAGACUAGAGUGCGGUAGGGGAGAUUGGAAUUCCUGGUGUAGCGGUGGAAUGCGCAGAUAUCAGGAGGAACACCGAUGGCGAAGGCAGAUCUCUGGGCCGUAACUGACGCUGAGGAGCGAAAGGGUGGGGAGCAAACAGGCUUAGAUACCCCCGUAGUCCCUGUCUCUUAUAC
rnacentral:rRNA from 1 species